rnacentral:miRNA from 1 species
CAUUACUUUUUCAUUCAUUAA